rnacentral:rRNA from 1 species
UUGCGUGCUGAGUCACAAUAACUGCUCGAAUCGCAUGGCUUUACGCUGGCGAUGGUUCAUUCAAAUUUCUGCCCUAUCAGCUAUUGACGGUAGUGUAGUGGACUACCGUGGCGUUAACGGGUGACGGAGAAUUAGGGUUCGAUUCCGGAGAGGGAGCCUGAGAAACGGCUACCACAUCCAAGGAAGGCAGCAGGCGCG